ensembl:snRNA U6 U6 spliceosomal RNA
GUGCUUGCUUCGGCAGAACAUAUACUGAAAUUGGAACAAUGCAGAGAUUAACGGGGCCCCUGUGCAAGGAAGACACACAAAACAACAAGCGUUGUCAAGUGCUG